rnacentral:misc_RNA from 1 species
CAAGAGUUCUAUACUCCAAACCCAAUGUGAAUCUACCUGUAGUUUGCUUUGGCAGGCGAUCCCGGGGGGGUCAGCUGCCUGGCCUUCGGGCUGGGUGCCUGCCGAAGGACUGCUAAACUCUGUUAUAUUUGCUAUCUGAGCACUAUAUCCAUCCGAAAGGAAGGAGAAAAUGAAUCA